GCCUUCAGCCCAUUAGCUCCUAACGAAGAAAAAGAGACAUGGCGGGUUAUGCCUGUACUUCUUUUGCUAACUUCCUUCUCAUUCUUCUAGCCGCUAGUUUCCACAUAAAUUCCAUGUCAGCUGGUAGAGUUCUCAGUACCCCCAAAACUUACGCAGAAUUUAUAAGAACAUCUUGCAGUACAACUACUUAUCCAAAACUUUGCUAUAGUUCCCUCUCGGUCCAAGCAAGCAAAAUCCAAAACAGCCCUAAGCUCCUAGCCAAUGCAGCCCUUAACGUGACAUUAGCAUCAGCUAGAUCAACUUCCACUAUGAUGCAAAAACUCUCUCAAAGCCAUGGCAUGAAGCCUAGGGAAGUAUCAGCCAUGCGAGACUGCGUGGAGGAGUUGAGCGACACGGUAGAUGAGCUUAGACAAUCCAUUGGCGAAAUGGGUGAGGCUAAAGGGUCCAAUACUAAGCUUAUGAUUGGCGACAUACAAACAUGGGUUAGUGCUGCCUUGACUGACGAGAGUACCUGCAGUGAUGGGUUCGAUGGGAAUACCAUGAAUGGCAAUGUGAAGAGUGCAGUUAGGAAACAGAUUCUGAAAAUCGCACACUUGACUAGUAAUGCCUUGGCCUUGAUCAACAAUUAUGCCUCUGUUCACGGUUGAUUAGAUGAUCUGGGAUGAGGUUAUCUCUACAAUUAAUUACUCUAGUUAGAGUGAUGGGGCUUCAAUAAAUUGUCUGUAACAUAUAUUUAGUGUGAUGCUUGUGUGUCAAUACGGAUGGCAACGUGCCUCCAUAAGGAUGCUAAGGUAGAAUGUAUGUAAAUAUAAUUUUAUCAUAUUAGUGAAAAAGGUCUGUGUAAGUGGAUACUAGAUCUUGUGAUUUAUAUGAAAACUGGCUAUUGUUCAAUCGGCG
rnacentral:misc_RNA from 1 species